GAUGAACGCUAGCGAUAGGCUUAACACAUGCAAGUCGAGGGGCAGCAUGGUCUUAGCUUGCUAAGACUGAUGGCGACCGGCGCACGGGUGCGUAACGCGUAUGCAACUUGCCUCACAGAGGGGGAUAACCCGUCGAAAGACGGACUAAUACCGCGUACACUCCAUCUUGGGCAUCCAAGGUAGAGGAAAUGAAAUUCGCUGUGAGAUAGGCAUGCGUCCCAUUAGCUAGUUGGUGAGGUAACGGCUCACCAAGGCGACGAUGGGUAGGGGAACUGAGAGGUUGAACCCCCACACUGGUACUGAGACACGGACCAGACUCCUACGGGAGGCAGCAGUGAUGAAUAUUGGUCAAUGGGCGAGAGCCUGAACCAGCCAAGUCGCGUGAAGGAUGACUGUCUUAUGGAUUGUAAACUUCUUUUAUACGGGAAUAACAAGAGUCACGUGUGACUCCCUGCAUGUACCGUAUGAAUAAGCAUCGGCUAACUCCGUG
rnacentral:rRNA from 1 species